rnacentral:rRNA from 1 species
GAUUAACGCUGGCGGCGUGCAUAACACAUGCAAGUCGAACGAUGAAACUUAGUAGACUUCUUCGGAAAGACACUAAGCGGCUUAGUGGCGAACGGGUGAGUAACGCGUGAGUAACCUGCCUUACACAAGGGGAUAGCCUUUGGAAACGAAGAAUAAUACCCUAUAAAACCAUAAAAGCACAUGCUAGAAUGGUCAAAGUGAUAGCGGUGUAAGAUGGACUUGCGUCUGAUUAGCUAGUUGGUGAGAUAAAAGCUCACCAAGGCAACGAUCAGUAGCCGGCUUGAGAGAGUGUACGGCCACAUUGGGACUGAGACACGGCCCAGACUCCUACGGGAGGCAGCAGUGGGGAAUUUUGCACAAUGGGGGAAACCCUGAUGCAGCGACGCCGCGUGAUUUAGAAGGCCUUCAGGUUGUAAAAAUCUUUUGUAUAGGAAGAAAAUGACAGUACUAUACGAAUAAGGUCCGGCUAAUUACGUG